UGGGGGAGUGAGAGGCGGGGCUUGGUCUCAGGCCUGAAACUUGGCCUUCCCGACUGCAGGGGGUGCUGCCCCGCCCGCAGGAUCCCAUCUCCUGAGACCUGUUCAGACCUUGAAUCUGGAGCUUGCCAUAAUCCUCAGGCUUAAACUUUUCUGACAUUCUAGUACUAGCAGAUUGUGCAUCAAGUGGAUCCCAGAGUUAAUACUGUGAGGAGACAGACUAAUGAGGAUAUUUUUUACCAAAGCUGAUAAGACUGAGUCUCAUCUGGAAGAAGACUGAAUUAUGAAAGUACACACUCAAGAGAGGAAGAAUAUAUUAUUCACAUUAUUAUUUACAGGAAGGUGCAUCAGAUAUGUAAAUGAUUUCAUAGCAUAUGUAUUCUGUGUAUGCAACGUAUGAUUUCUAAGGCUAAUAGGUCUAUUUUAUCUUUCAUCUGGAUUCUAUGUGGUGCAUUUUUGGUUAAAUAUUCAAAUAACAGAAGUUGUGCAGAAUAUAUAUGUAUUUAUACAUUAUUAUAAAUAUAUCAAUUUGUGAUACUAUCUGGACCAAAAGUAACUCCUAAACUAGUAGUAAAAAUCAAUUAAAAUCUAUGUUUUCAAUAUUUUCUCAUAGUGUAAAUCUAGAAUUUUAUUUAAAUAAUUUUACUUAACAAGUUUACUUAAAUAUUCUUAGAGGCGAACAUUAUGGUAUAGUAAGAUAAGUCACUGCUUGUGAUGCCAGUAUCCCAUAUCAGAGCAUUGGUUCAAGUCCCAGUUGCUUUACUUCUGAUCCACUUUGGCUAGUGUUCCUGGGAAGUGUUAUGGGUCAUGGAGGGGAGGGUGGUUACCUGAGCAAGCUCCAUGUGUGCUUUUCCUCAGCUUAGCAUAGAAAUAAAAACAUGGGAAACAAUUUGCAAAUAAGAUGCAAAAUCUUUAUUUAGUUUGCAAAGCAACAGUAAAGCAUCUAGCCCAACAGGAGACCAGAUGGAAUGCCAGAGCAGGACAAUGGCUUUCAGGAAGUGCCCAGGGUUUUUAUGGCAUUACUGCAUUUUAAUUGGGUCAAUCUAUGGGGGUGCCCAUUGGACAGGGGCUUCACAUAGUCUAUGUUGAUUGAACUGGGGCCACCCAAGGAGAUAGUGGGGGUCUCAUGAAGUCAGCCAGAUUCCCCUUAGGGGCUCAGGCCUCUCCUGUACUAGCUCUGGGUAGAGGAUUGACGUUGUGGUUAGAACUACAGGCUCACAUAUACUGAACAGGAGGUUAUCAUGGGGGAGAUGCCAGCAGGUAAAACAAGCUUUCCAGCCACAGCUUGCAGCCUGCUUGCACAUUUGCAACCUGAUUAUGUCAGAAAUUCUUUCUGUGUCUAAGAGGCCCACAGGCACUUGUCCCCCUCCCCGGAUAUCCUCAGGAAGGCAGCAAAUUAUGGCCCAAGUACUUGGCCCCUAGCCACCCUCAUUGAAGACUCAUAUGGAGUCUCUGGAUACUAGGUUCAGCCUGGUCCAAUCUCAGAUGUUGGGAGCAUUUGGGAAAUAAACCACUAGAUGGAAAAUCUGCCUCUACCUUUCAGAAAAAUAUAUACAUUUAAAAAAUAAAUAUUUAAUUUUUAAUAUUUUUCAGUGGGAAUUUUGUAUA